GAUGAACGCUGGCGGCGUGCCUAAUACAUGCAAGUCGAGCGAACAGACGAGGAGCUUGCUCCUCUGACGUUAGCGGCGGACGGGUGAGUAACACGUGGAUAACCUACCUAUAAGACUGGGAUAACUUCGGGAAACCGGAGCUAAUACCGGAUAAUAUAUUGAACCGCAUGGUUCAAUAGUGAAAGACGGUUUUGCUGUCACUUAUAGAUGGAUCCGCGCCGCAUUAGCUAGUUGGUAAGGUAACGGCUUACCAAGGCGACGAUGCGUAGCCGACCUGAGAGGGUGGUCGGGCACACUGGGACUGAGACACGGUCCAGACUCCUACGGGAGGCAGCAGUAGGGAAUCUUCCGCAAUGGGCGAAAGCCUGACGGAGCAACGCCGCGUGAGUGAUGAAGGUCUUCGGAUCGUAAAACUCUGUUAUUAGGGAAGAACAAAUGUGUAAGUAACUAUGCACGUCUUGACGGUACCUAAUCAGAAAGCCACGGCUAACUACGUG
rnacentral:rRNA from 1 species